rnacentral:rRNA from 1 species
GAUGAACGCUGGCGGCGUGCUUAACACAUGCAAGUCGAACGGUGAAGGCGGAGCUUGCUCUGCUGGAUCAGAGGCGCACGGGUGAGUAACACGCGAGCAAUCUGCCCCUGACACUGGGAUAAGCGCUGGAAACGGCGUCUAUAACUGGAUACGAGCUGCUGAGGCAUAUUCAGCAGCUGGAAAAGACUUCGGUCAGGGAUGGGCUCGCGGCCUAUCAGCUUGUUGGUGAGGUAACGGCUCACCAAGGCUUCGACGGGUAGCCGGCCUGAGAGGGGGACCGGCCACACUGGGACUGAGACACGGCGCAGUCGCCUACGGGAGGCAGCAGUGGGGAAUAUUGCACAAUGGGCGAGAGCCUGAUGCAGCAACGCCGCGUGAGGGACGACGUCCUUCGAGUUGUAAACCUAUUUUAACAGGAAAGAAGCGAUAGUGACGGUACCUGCAGAGAAAGCCCCGGCUAACUACGUG